rnacentral:rRNA from 1 species
UACGAAGGGUGCAAACGUUGCUCGGAAUCAUUGGGCGUAAAGCGCACGUAGGCGGCCUAGCAAGUCGGAUGUGAAAUCCCUCGGCUCAACCAAGGAAGUGCAUCCGAAACUGCUGAGCUUGAGUACUAAAGAGGAUCGCGGAAUUCCCGGUGUAGAGGUGAAAUUCGUAGAUAUCGGGAGGAACACCAGUGGCGAAGGCGGCGAUCUGGGUAGAUACUGACGCUGAGGCGCGAAAGCUAGGGGAGCAAACAGG